rnacentral:rRNA from 1 species
GACGAACGCUGGCGGCGUGCUUAACACAUGCAAGUCGAACGGAAAGGCCCUGCUUUUGUGGGGUGCUCGAGUGGCGAACGGGUGAGUAACACGUGAGUAACCUGCCCUUGACUUUGGGAUAACUUCAGGAAACUGGGGCUAAUACCGGAUAGGAGCUCCUGCUGCAUGGUGGGGGUUGGAAAGUUUCGGCGGUUGGGGAUGGACUCGCGGCUUAUCAGCUUGUUGGUGGGGUAGUGGCUUACCAAGGCUUUGACGGGUAGCCGGCCUGAGAGGGUGACCGGCCACAUUGGGACUGAGAUACGGCCCAGACUCCUACGGGCGGCAGCAGUGGGGAAUAUUGCACAAUGGGCGGAAGCCUGAUGCAGCAACGCCGCGUGCGGGAUGACGGCCUUCGGGUUGUAAACCGCUUUCGCCUGUGACGAAGCGUGAGUGACGGUAAUGGGUAAAGAAGCACCGGCUAACUAUGUG